rnacentral:rRNA from 1 species
GAUGAACGCUGGCGGCGUGCUUAACACAUGCAAGUCGAACGGGAAACCUUUUAUUGAAGCUUCGGCAGAUUUCGCUGGUUUCUAGUGGCGGACGGGUGAGUAACGCGUGGGUAACCUGCCUUAUACAGGGGGAUAACAACCAGAAAUGGUUGCUAAUACCGCAUAAGCGCACAGGACCGCAUGGUCCGGUGUGAAAAACUCCGGUGGUAUAAGAUGGACCCGCGUUGGAUUAGCUAGUUGGCAGGGUAACGGCCUACCAAGGCGACGAUCCAUAGCCGGCCUGAGAGGGUGAACGGCCACAUUGGGACUGAGACACGGCCCAGACUCCUACGGGAGGCAGCAGUGGUGAAUAUUGCACAAUGGGGGAAACCCUGAUGCAGCGACGCCGCGUGAAGGAAGAAGUAUCCCGGUAUGUAAACUUCUAUCAGCAGGGAAGAUAGUGACGGUACCUGACUAAGAAGCCCCGGCUAACUACGUG